ACUGUAUGAGAUGUAGGACGGCUAUAAGUAGAUAAAGGCCAAUAGCGGACGAUUUUCGUAAAGGGACAGGAUGCCUGAGAGCCAGAGGGCUCCGAGCUUCAGCCGGGAGACCCAAGGUGAUCGAUGGAUCCACGGCGGAUGACAACAUGAAGCUUUUCUUGCGCAGUCCAGCACACAGGCAGGGGAGGUUGAUACUUAUUGUUUUGGGUUUGCUGGUUUUGGUGAUAUUCUCCCUGCUGCUGAUGCAGACGAGGACAGAGGAACCUUUUCAGUUUCAUGUCAAUUCUGCACAUAAACAGGUGAGGGAAGCUCAACGUAGCACAUUGCAACCACUUCAAGCUUUUCACGACAAGAGUUGUCUGGAUUUUCAAUCUGUUCUUCUAAAAUAAAUUUUUUUAUGUAAAUAUGAAUCAAUUUUUUAUGAGUUUUCCAAAGUGCUCAAGAAUGAUACAAAUAUGACCCAUCCAGCACAAGUGGUGGAUGCAGAUGGAGACCUUUUUAUAUUAUUAUCAUUAUUUGUAAUCAGUGUAACAUUAUUUCCAACUUGAUUUUCUUACAAUGGAAAAUGUCAAUCACGACACAGUAUUUGUAUUUUCAUAACCGAUCUUUUAUAAUGAGUAGAACCGCGACUACCCUGAGGCUUUGACGGAGAAACCGACUUUGGUGCUUGGAUAUCAGCUUUUAUGCUCCCAGGUGUAAAAACAAUACCUUGUUGCCACGGUUACGCAUCAUAACUGUUGGAAAGUUAAAAAAGAAAGAUCAAAAAUCCUUCCAGCUGCACAGUAACUUAUUCAAAACAAUGAUGCCUGAAUCCGUGAAAUAUUGAACAAAUUAGAACUAAUGUAACGCAUCAAAUCCAACAUGCUGCCACAGUUCUGUAAGGAAUAAUUUAUUAAAAAUGGAUGAUCAGUCGAGUCAAUGCAAUCCUAGCAGCAUAGAAUAAUUAUAUAUAUAAAAAAUAAAAUUCCCCUCUCACCCUCCGCGGGUGGUCUCUCUUUCAUCCUCUGAGCUCGGGUCCUCUACCAGAGGCCUGGGAGCUUGAGGGUUCUACGCAGUAUCUUGGCUUAGCAUAGUACUGCACAUUUCUGGACUGAGAUGUCUGAUGUUGUUCCUGGGAUCUGUUUGA